rnacentral:rRNA from 1 species
GACGAACGCUGGCGGCGUGCCUAAUACAUGCAAGUAGGACGCACAGUCUAUACCGUAGCUUGCUACACCAUAGACUGUGAGUUGCGAACGGGUGAGUAACGCGUAGGUAACCUGCCUAUUAGAGGGGGAUAACUAUUGGAAACGAUAGCUAAUACCGCAUAACAGUAUGUAACACAUGUUAGAUGCUUGAAAGAUGCAAUUGCAUCGCUAGUAGAUGGACCUGCGUUGUAUUAGCUAGUAGGUAGGGUAAUGGCCUACCUAGGCGACGAUACAUAGCCGACCUGAGAGGGUGAUCGGCCACACUGGGACUGAGACACGGCCCAGACUCCUACGGGAGGCAGCAGUAGGGAAUCUUCGGCAAUGGGGGGAACCCUGACCGAGCAACGCCGCGUGAGUGAAGAAGGUUUUCGGAUCGUAAAGCUCUGUUGUUAAGGAAGAACGAGUGUGAGAAUGGAAAGUUCAUACUGUGACGGUACUUAACCAGAAAGGGACGGCUAACUACGUGCCAGCAGCCGCGGUAAUACGUAGGUCCCGAGCGUUGUCCGGAUUUAUUGGGCGUAAAGCGAGCGCAGGCGGUUAGAAAAGUCUGAAGUGAAAGGCAGUGGCUCAACCAUUGUAGGCUUUGGAAACUGUUUAACUUGAGUGCAGAAGGGGAGAGUGGAAUUCCAUGUGUAGCGGUGAAAUGCGUAGAUAUAUGGAGGAACACCGGUGGCGGAGGCGGCUCUCUGGUCUGCAACUGACGCUGAGGCUCGAAAGCAUGGGUAGCGAACAGG